rnacentral:rRNA from 1 species
GACGAACGCUGGCGGCGUGCUUAACACAUGCCAGUCGAACGGAAAGGCCUGCUUUCCCUUGUGGAUUGCGGGUGCUCGAGUGGCGAACGGGUGAGUAACACGUGAGUGAUCUGCCCCCAACUUGGGUAUAAGCCUGGGAAACUGGGUCUAAUUCCCGAUAGGACUGCAGGGUGGUGCCUGUGGUGGAAAACGAUUUUCUAGUGGUUGGGGAUGAGCUCGCGGCCUAUCAGCUUGUUGGUGGGGUAAUGGCCUACCAAGGCGGCGACGGGUAGCCGGCCUGGGAGGGUGGACGGCCACAUUGGGACUGAGAUACGGCCCAGACUCCUACGGGAGGCAGCAGUGGGGAAUAUUGCACAAUGGGCGGAAGCCUGAUGCAGCGACGCCGCGUGGGGGAUGACGGCCUUCGGGUUGUAAACUCCUUUCGACCGCGAGGAAGCCACCUGGUUGGAAGGGUGGUGACGGUAGUGGUAGAAGAAGCACCGGCUAACUACGUG